rnacentral:lncRNA from 1 species
UCUUAUCUUAGCCAUGAAGAUGACUCAAGGCAAUUUUGAGGUGAUGAAGGCAAACCAAGAAGUCUCAAGCGAACGUCAUGAAGCCUCCAUCAAAAAUCUCGAAAAUCAAAUUGGUCAACUAGCAAGGCAAGUCUCUUCUCUACAAACUCAAAGUGGUUUUUAUGGAAACACCACGGAUCCUCGUAAUGAAAAUUGUAAUUCCAUUAAU